GGAUUAGAUACCCUGGUAGUCCACGCCGUAAACGAUGUCUACUAGCCGUUGGGGAACUUGAUUCCUUAGUGGCGCAGCUAACGCACUAAGUAGACCGCCUGGGGAGUACGGCCGCAAGGUUAAAACUCAAAUGAAUUGACGGGGGCCCGCACAAGCGGUGGAGCAUGUGGUUUAAUUCGAUGCAACGCGAAGAACCUUACCAGGUCUUGACAUCCCGAGAAGUUACCAGAGAUGGUUUCGUGCCUUCGGGAGCUCGGUGACAGGUGCUGCAUGGCUGUCGUCAGCUCGUGUUG
rnacentral:rRNA from 1 species